UACAGAGGUCCCGAGCGUUGUUCGGAUUCACUGGGCGUAAAGGGUGCGUAGGUGGCUUGACAAGUUUGAUGUGAAAUCUCCGGGCUUAACCCGGAAAUGCAUUGAAUACUGUAGAGGCUUGAGGUUUGGAGGGGGACUGGAAUUCUCGGUGUAGCAGUGAAAUGCGUAGAUAUCGAGAGGAACACCAGUGGCGAAGGCGAGUCCCUGGACAACACCUGACACUGAGGCACGAAAGCCGGGGGAGCAAACAGG
rnacentral:rRNA from 1 species